CAGCAGAUUCCUAUGUAGAGAAGCUCCUGAAUCUGAGAUCACCUACAGACCAUCCUGUGCUUUCACAUACUGGUGUACCGAGGGGGAGGAAUCAAGAUGGCAGAAUAGAAGGACAUGGAAUUUUUCUCUCCUCACAAGUACAUCAGGACUACAUCUACAAAUGGAACAGUUUUCACAGAGCACCUGUUGAACAUUAGCAGAAGACUUCAGACACCUAAAUGGACAAGAAAAAUCCCUUCACAGCCAAGUAGGAUGAAAGAAAGUAAAAAAGAAAAGAGGAAUCAGAAAGGGACAGGCACGGCUGAUGGGCAGCUGAAGGUUUUAAAAUGAAUACUCUCAAUAGAUUCUGAACUGAUGAAAGAAAAUCUGCUUAGACUGACAGCAAGAUCACCAGCAACUGGAUAUCUGGGACAGAUCAACUUUUUCUGCCAUAAACUAUUCUUAAGAUAAACGUAUACUAUG